rnacentral:lncRNA from 1 species
ACGAAAACUUUUCGAAAGAUAUGUCCGUAUAUAAAAUCGGUAUAUAAGUGGAAAAAUAGUUACAUACAGAUUUUAUAUACGGAUUUAUAAUUAAUUAAUAAAUAAAUAAAAUUAAGUUAUUUAGAAUGCAUAUAGAAAAAGUCGCAAACCCUAUUUUCUUCUUCUUCACUCGUGCUGCCAUUUCUCGUUUGGAAAAAGGGUUGAGCCACGCCUCCUUCAAUCCAGCCACUAAACCUAUUCUUCCUUCUCUUUCACUGCAACCCUUCCUAAAUCAGUGUUCUGGUCGUGGUUCUCUCUCGUCGAGUCCUCUAUCCUCUUUAGUGGAGUCUCGGUUCUUUUUCGUUAAGCUCUCUAAAACCCUAAUUUUCUCUCAUUCGAACUAUCAUUGUGCGUCCUUGGUAACGGUUAAUUGGUAAGUAAUGUUUAAUUUUGAUUGAGCUUAAUUUUUUAAUUGCAAAACCCUAAUCCUUUUUUUUUGUUCUACUGGGCAUAAAAUUGCAAUUCUCCAUCCUCACUCUCUUCUCUUAAGCCUCAAUUUCUCUCAUCCAUUUUCGAUUUAUGCAAUGACUCGCACGAUAAGGUUCUGUUUCUU